AAUGAGUUUAGCCAUUUUCCAGUUGAUGGGCCUCUAAUUUGUUUCCAAUUCAUUGAUGGUACUAAACUUAUUACCAUGAAUAUUUUGGCCAAUACCCUUUGGGGAAGGAGCCAAAAGUCAGGUAAUAGCUUACAAUGUGCGAUUUACAAUAUGCAGAGCACAGAGAAGACACUUGGGAAAUAUUUGCUAGAUUGAGUGCUUGAUUAAGCUCUUAAGAAGCUGAAGACAAAUUGAAUAUAACGAGAAAAGACAGAAACAAAGGAUCACUUUGGAAAAGUUAUAUCAUAUCUAAGGAGAACACCUUGAAAACUUAAGCAAAAGGAUUUCCAGGACCUGGAUAAACCCUUUUUCACAUGUGCUUUCUAAGUUUUGAGCUGUUUCCCCUGGACUUGGUACUGUGCAAAGUCCAAGAUAUACAGUGAUAAAAAUGAUCCAGAACCUUACAAAUCUACAAUGAGAUCGGUAAUUAAGUGAUGAAUGUGAAGAUGGAAGGAAUUCCAGUAGAAAGGGAUUAGUCACAAAAGGUUUCUCAUAGAAGGUAGAAGAGUGAAAAGCUUCUUGAGGCUUCAAGAGGCAUUUUGGAAUGGUGGACAGCCUUGGAGUCAGGAAAAUCAAAGCUCAAGAUUCAUCUCUGAAACAUAGUGAAGAUUAUCUUCAAAGAAGUUUACAAACAUUGUUCAAAUCCUCAUUAUAUACUCCCAUAGCCAAAACUGGAGUUAAACCUUCUGUCCAUAUCUUUGUACAACAAAUAAAAAUAAAAAUGAAU